rnacentral:snRNA from 1 species
UUGAGCUUGACUCUAGUC